rnacentral:rRNA from 1 species
UAGCCGCGUAAUUCCAGCUCCAAUAGCGUAUAUUAAAGUUGUUGUGGUUAAAAAGCUCGUAGUUGAACCUUGGGCCUGGCUGGCCGGUCCGCCUCACCGCGUGUACUGGUCCGGCCGGGCCUUUCCCUCUGUGGAACCCCAUGCCCUUCACUGGGUGUGGCGGGGAAACAGGACUUUUACUUUGAAAAAAUUAGAGUGCUCCAGGCAGGCCUAUGCUCGAAUACAUUAGCAUGGAAUAAUAGAAUAGGACGUGUGGUUCUAUUUUGUUGGUUUCUAGGACCGCCGUAAUGAUUAAUAGGGACAGUCGGGGGCAUCAGUAUUCAAUUGUCAGAGGUGAAAUUCUUGGAUUUAUUGAAGACUAACUACUGCGAAAGCAUUUGCCAAGGAUGUUUUCAUUAAUCAGGAACGAAAGUUAGGGGAUCGAAGACGAUCAGAUACCGUCGUAGUCUUAACCAUAAACUAUGCCGACUAGGGAUCGGACGAUGUUAUUUUUUGACUCGUUCGGCACCUUACG